UAAAAAAAGGUAAGCUACUAAGAGCGAAUGGUGGAUGCCUUGACUGGUAAAGGCGAUGAAGGACGUACUAGACUGCGAUAAGCUACGGGGAGCUGUCAAGAAGCUUUGAUCCGUAGAUUUCCGAAUGGGGCAACCCAAUGUAUAGAGAUAUACAUUACCUAUAUAGGAGCGAACGAGGGGAAUUGAAACAUCUUAGUACCCUCAGGAAAAGAAAUCAAUAGAGAUUGCGUCAGUAGCGGCGAGCGAAAGCGCAAGAGGGCAAACCCAGUGCUUGCACUGGGGGUUGUAGGACUGCAAUGUGCAAGAGCUGAGUUUAGCAGAACAUUCUGGAAAGUAUAGCCAUAGAGGGUGAUAGUCCCGUAUGCGAAAAACAAAGCUUAGCUAGCAGUAUCCUGAGUAGGGCGGGACACGAGGAAUCCUGUCUGAAUCCGGGUCGACCACGAUCCAACCCUAAAUACUAAUACCAGAUCGAUAGUGCACAAGUACCGUGAGGGAAAGGUGAAAAGAACUGAGGUGAUCAGAGUGAAAUAGAACCUGAAACCAUUUGCUUACAAUCAUUCAGAGCACUAUGUAGCAAUACAGUGUGAUGGACUGCCUUUUGCAUAAUGAGCCUGCGAGUUGUGGUGUCUGGCAAGGUUAAGCAAACGCGAAGCCGUAGCGAAAGCGAGUCUGAAUAGGGCGCUUAGUCAGAUGCUGCAGACCCGAAACGAAGUGAUCUAUCCAUGAGCAAGUUGAAGCUAGUGUAAGAACUAGUGGAGGACUGAACCCAUAGGCGUUGAAAAGCCCCGGGAUGACUUGUGGAUAGGGGUGAAAGGCCAAUCAAACUUCGUGAUAGCUGGUUCUCUCCGAAAUAUAUUUAGGUAUAGCGUUGUGUCGUAAUAUAAGGGGGUAGAGCACUGAAUGGGCUAGGGCAUACACCAAUGUACCAAACCCUAUCAAACUCCGAAUACCUUAUAUGUAAUCACAGCAGUCAGGCGGCGAGUGAUAAAAUCCGUCGUCAAGAGGGAAACAACCCAGACUACCAGCUAAGGUCCCUAAAUCUUACUUAAGUGGAAAACGAUGUGAAGUUACUUAAACAACCAGGAGGUUGGCUUAGAAGCAGCCAUCCUUUAAAGAAAGCGUAAUAGCUCACUGGUCUAGUGAUUUUGCGCGGAAAAUAUAACGGGGCUAAAGUAAGUACCGAAGCUGUAGACUUGCACACAACUUAGAUUAUUUAAGUUUAGAAUAUGAGAAACUAAGUUAUAUGUUUAGUUAUAUUUUUACUGAUUUUUAUAGAGUAAAGAUAGAAAUAAAACUUAGUAAAAUCAGUAAAAAUAUUCUUAGGCUAAAGUUAAGUAGUUUAAGUUGUGUGCAAGUGGUAGGAGAGCGUUCUAUUUGCGUCGAAGGUAUACCGGUAAGGAGUGCUGGAGCGAAUAGAAGUGAGCAUGCAGGCAUGAGUAGCGAUAAUUAAUGUGAGAAUCAUUAACGCCGUAAACCCAAGGUUUCCUACGCGAUGCUCGUCAUCGUAGGGUUAGUCGGGUCCUAAGUCGAGUCCGAAAGGGGUAGACGAUGGCAAAUUGGUUAAUAUUCCAAUACCAACAUUAGUGUGCGAUGGAAGGACGCUUAGGGCUAAGGGGGCUAGCGGAUGGAAGUGCUAGUCUAAGGUUGUAGGAGGUUAUACAGGCAAAUCCGUAUAACAAUACUCCGAGAACUGAAAGGCUUUUUGAAGUCUUCGGAUGGAUAGAAGAACCCCUGAUGCCGUCGAGCCAAGAAAAGUUUCUAAGUUUAGCUAAUGUUGCCCGUACCGUAAACCGACACAGGUGGGUGGGAUGAGUAUUCUAAGGCGCGUGGAAGAACUCUCUUUAAGGAACUCUGCAAAAUAGCACCGUAUCUUCGGUAUAAGGUGUGGUUAGCUUCGUACUAGGAUUUACUCCGAAAGCGAAGAAACUUACAACAAAGAGUCCCUCCCGACUGUUUACCAAAAACACAG
rnacentral:rRNA from 1 species